UGUAAACACAUCACAAGGUUCCUCCUGCC
rnacentral:piRNA from 1 species